UACGAAGGGGGCUAGCGUUGCUCGGAAUCACUGGGCGUAAAGGGUGCGUAGGCGGGUUUUUAAGUCAGGGGUGAAAUCCUGGAGCUCAACUCCAGAACUGCCUUUGAUACUGAAGAUCUUGAGUCCGGGAGAGGUGAGUGGAACUGCGAGUGUAGAGGUGAAAUUCGUAGAUAUUCGCAAGAACACCAGUGGCGAAGGCGGCUCACUGGCCCGGUACUGACGCUGAGGCACGAAAGCUAGGGGAGCGAACGGG
rnacentral:rRNA from 1 species